rnacentral:pre_miRNA from 1 species
UAAGGGUUAUAGCUUCUCUUCCUGGUUCUUCCUGGAGUUGGAAAAGCUGGGUUGAGAGGGUUUAAAAAAAAAGGG